rnacentral:lncRNA from 1 species
AGGAGUAGAAGACAUGGUGACAGAAGCAAGAGGCUGGAGUCACUCAUGGAAGGGGCCACGAGCCGAGAAGUACAGGCAGCCUCCAGAAACUGGAAAGGCAUGCAGCCGGAUGUCCCCCCUGCAAUCCCGAAGCCUCCAGAAGGAAUGCAGCUUUAUUGGCACCUCAAUUUUAGCUCCAUAAAAUCCAGUUUUUGGACUUGUGCACUCUACAACAUUCACCAAAAUGGUACCCACAGUUGAAAACACUCAUAAGAAUAAUGAAGUCACAUUGCGAUGGACUUUGCUCUCCCAGCUCAAAUUAUGUGCCAACUAAUACAGCAAAUCGUAUGAUAUAUUUAUCAAGUGAUUUGCCACCCACGUCUGUCCCACUCAGAAAAGCCUAUUGCAAUGCAAGAGAAUGAGCGUGAUACCAUUAAAGGGUUGAUCUUGGAUCUAGUCUAAUUUGUGAAGAACAUUUUAUAAGUCACUCAACCAUCAUGAGUAACAAAUCGCUGGGGAAGUGGCUUAGGCCUCCCAGCCACAUGCCAGGAAGCCUGUGUUUGGCAAUGACUGUUGCUCUGUACAGAAUGGCUCAAGUGUUCUAUUGGAAGCAGUUGGACCUUGUGGCUUUCAUGCUGUCACCCUUGUAUUAUUUCUUGGUGUGUCCAGGUAAAGCUGGAGCUCCUUAGCCCAGCCAGAAAGGCAGCUCAUGGUGCAGCCCCUGCCUGCCUCUCUGGACUCAUCUCCCCUGCUUCCCUGUUUGCAUUGUGGUUUUUGCUUUCCGCCUCCAGAGAUAUUGGAGACUCUGCUGUAUUCACUAUGAUCUGGUUAAGCAUCUCCUCCAGAAAGUCAUUCCGAGCCUCUUCACUGUUCUCUCUACACUGGGUCAAGAGCCUGUGGUGUUCUCAUGAGCUCUUUCUUCAGUAUCCAUAUGAACCACUAGACCAAGAGCACCUGACGGACAAGUUAUUUAUCUUCAUGACACAAACUGUACUAAUGGAAUGUUUGUGAAUGAAAAUGUACUUUGAUGAACCAGAACCAGAUACUCUAUUUAUUUAUUUAUUUGUUUGUUUAUUUAUUUAUUUAUGUGAGAUAGGGUCUUGUUCAGUUGUCCAGGCUGGAGUGCAGUGGUGCAGUCUCAGCUCACUGCAGCCUCAAACUCUCAGGGCUCAGGUGAUCCUCCCACCUCAGCCUCCCAAGCAGUUGGGCCCACAGGAGUGCACCACCAUGCCCAGCUAAUGACUGUAUUUUUUGUAGACGUGGGGUUUCGCCAUGGUGCCCAGGCUGUCAUGGCAGCCCUAACAGAUGAAUCCAGUGGCAUAUGAAAUAACUGCUAAGAACCAUGUGAUAGCUGGAUGGGGGUUUGUCUGUGCACAUAUGCACAUACACACAAGACAUCCACAUGUGUGAAAGAGGGUGUUGCAUUCCUUAAGAGUAGUAUACUUAUUUAUGUAUUCUGUGUAGGAUACUUAUUUAUAUGAGAAACUCUAGCGCAUGAGAAAAUGUUGAACAAGAAUUUAAGAGGAUUUUCUGUUUACCCUGAGUUUAACUAUAAAAUUAGAGUUCUUCCCUAAAUAUUAUUGUUAAUAUUAUACAUGUUGUUUUUUGCUGUAAAAUAUUCAGAGAUUAUCUAAGUAAUUCUGCCACUAUCUGUCAUGAUGUAGUGACUAUGUGCAUUUCUGUUGGACAUUUAAUUUCUAUUUGAUAAUUUAUUUCUGUUCAAUAUGUAUAUUUGUAGAAUUAUUUCUGAGAUAUAGAUGUUCAUUGCUAUCCAGAAUAUUUUAUGUAAUAAACUCUAUGUUUUCUGUCAUA